rnacentral:misc_RNA from 1 species
AAGACUCUUAGUGUUCUGAAUUUAAGAAGGAAUAAAUUCGAAGGCAAUAUUCCAGAUAAAUUUCCGACUACCUGCGAAUUAAAGACUCUAGAUCUGAAUGGAAAUCUAUUAGAGGGGAAGCUUCCAAAAUCCCUUGCUAAUUGCACUACGUUAGAGGUUUUAGACCUUGGGAACAAUAAAAUGAAUGACAUAUUUCCAUGCCUUUUGAAGAACAUAUCCAGUUUGCGAGUCCUUAUUCUACGGAAGAACAACUUUCAUGGCAAGAUUGGAUGUCCAAAAAACCAUGGUCCUUGGCCAAAACUUCAGAUUGUCGAUCUAGCCUCCAACAAUUUUGGUUAUAUUCUACCAAAUGGAUGCUUGAAUACGUGGGAGGCAAUGAAAAGAAAUGGAAAUGAAACAGAUGGUCACCUUAGUUUCGAGGCCCUAAGCCUCAGUGGACUAUAUUAUCAAGAUUCAAUAACAGUU